rnacentral:rRNA from 1 species
CUCUGGUUGAUCCUGCCAGAGGUUACUGCUAUCGAGGUUCGACUAAGCCAUGCGAGUCGAAUGUAGCAAUACAUGGCGUACUGCUCAGUAACACGUGGACAACCUACCCUUGAGACGGGGAUAAACCCGGGAAACUGGGUAUAAUACCCGAUAGAUCUCGACUGCUGGAAUGCAUCGAGCUCUAAAGCUCCGGCGCCUAAGGAUGGGUCUGCGGCCUAUCAGGUAGUAGUGGGUGUAGCGUACCUACUAGCCUACGACGGGUACGGGUUGUGAGAGCAAGAGCCCGGAGAUGGAUUCUGAGACACGAAUCCAGGCCCUACGGGGUGCAGCAGGCGCGAAAACUUUACAAUGCUGGAAACAGCGAUAAGGGGACCUCGAGUGCCAGGUUACAAAUCUGGCUGUCGUGAUGCCUAAAAAGCAUUGCAUAGCAAGGGCCGGGCAAGACCGGUGCCAGCCGCCGCGGUAACACCGGCGGCUCGAGUGGUAACCGUUAUUAUUGGGUCUAAAGGGUCUGUAGCCGGCCGGAUAAGUCUCUUGGGAAAUCCAGCAGCUUAACUGUUGGGCUUUCAGGAGAUACUGUCUGGCUCGAGGCCGGGAGAGGUGAGAGGUACUUCAGGGGUAGGGGUGAAAUCUUGUAAUCCUUGAAGGACCACCAGUGGCGAAGGCGUCUCACCAGAACGGACCUGACGGCAAGGGACGAAAGCUAGGGGCACGAACCGGAUUAGAUACCCGGGUAGUCCUAGCCGUAAACGAUACUCGCUAGGUGUCGGCCACGGUGCGACCGUUGUCGGUGCCGUAGGGAAGCCGUGAAGCGAGCCACCUGGGAAGUACGGCCGCAAGGCUGAAACUUAAAGGAAUUGGCGG